AUUCUGUUGCGUAUCUAACGUAGACAAGGUAUUGUAUAGGAUCAUGGGGGACACGAUCUAAGAAUAAGGCAGAGGCAGCUCUCCAGGAGGGAGAGGUCGGCUCACACUCAGGUCCACAUCACGGACCAAGGGAACUGAUCUCCAGUAGCAGCCUGUGCUUCCCAGAAGUUUAAAAUCAGAAGGUUAAACAUACUGAAGUGGGAGAAAGGAGUUAGACAAAUAGAAAAGGUUCUUUCAAGGGUUUUGAAGGAUAAUUAAUUUCCAAGAAACAGAGAUGACAGGAGAACAUUCCAGAUAGAAGAGACUUAAAUCUAACUUUCAAAAUAAAAUGAUACCAUAGCAAAUGGAGUCCAAAAUCAACUGACAUUUUGUAUUCAUAUCAUGCCUUUGUACAAAGGGUUGAUUAUUUCAUUAUUAUAACACCCAGGAAGAGAUACA
rnacentral:lncRNA from 1 species